UCAGGAUAUUGAUUAACUUGUGUAAGGACAAAUAGCUAAUAAGUAACAGAGCUAAGAUGUAAAUCUAGAGACCAUCUGACAAGAAAAAUUCCAUAAACAUUUUGCCACUAUUGCUCCCACAGGAAAAGUGACAUGGCUUAACAUGACAGCUACUGGUCAAAUUUCAUCAUAUUUCUUGCUGUAUUUCCAAACACAGGAAGUUUAUUGAUUAUUCAUUUAGAAGUACUAUUUAUCUAGUGUUUUGGUAUAUGGAGUAAAAUGGAG
rnacentral:lncRNA from 1 species